GUCGAGGGGUAUAGUUCUUCGGAGCUAGAGACCGGCGCACGGGUGCGUAACGCGUAUGCAAUCUACCUUUUACAGAGGGAUAGCCCAGAGAAAUUUGGAUUAAUACUUCAUAGUAUGUGAGAAUCGCAUGGUUUUCACAUUAAAGUUCCAACGGUAAAAGAUGAGCAUGCGUCCCAUUAGCUAGAUGGUAAGGUAACGGCUUACCAUGGCAACGAUGGGUAGGGGUCCUGAGAGGGAGAUCCCCCACACUGGUACUGAGACACGGACCAGACUCCUACGGGAGGCAGCAGUGAGGAAUAUUGGACAAUGGGCGCAAGCCUGAUCCAGCCAUGCCGCGUGCAGGAUGACGGUCCUAUGGAUUGUAAACUGCUUUUGUACAGGAAGAAACACUCCCUCGUGAGGGAGCUUGACGGUACUGUAAGAAUAAGGAUCGGCUAACUCCGUGCCAGCAGCCGCGGUAAUACGGAGGAUCCAAGCGUUAUCCGGAAUCAUUGGGUUUAAAGGGUCCGUAGGCGGUUUAAUAAGUCAGUGGUGAAAGCCCAUCGCUCAACGGUGGAACGGCCAUUGAUACUGUUAAACUUGAAUUAUUAGGAAGUAACUAGAAUAUGUAGUGUAGCGGUGAAAUGCUUAGAGAUUACAUGGAAUACCAAUUGCGAAGGCAGGUUACUACUAAUGGAUUGACGCUGAUGGACGAAAGCGUGGGUAGCGAACAGGAUUAGAUACCCUGGUAGUCCACGCCGUAAACGAUGGAUACUAGCUGUUGGGAGCAAUCUCAGUGGCUAAGCGAAAGUGAUAAGUAUCC
rnacentral:rRNA from 1 species